AUCUUGCUGGAGAUGCCUGCCUAUCUGAGGCCUUUUAAAGGGGAGCAGCACUUUCCUUAAGCGAUGUUUAGAGGACACUAGUCUGCAAGGGUAAUCAUCCUCGCCUCUGGCAGGAAGAGCUCGUGCACUUGCAUUUCCGAGAUGGCUGUCUUUGUGAAUAAUUGAAUUUGUCUCUGGAGCACAAGAUUUCUUUUUCUGUGGGACUAACUGCAGCUCUGCUUCUUUCCUAUGUGCAGCUUGCUUUAAUUGGGGUAGGAGAAAGCAGUGAAUGGAUCUGUAGAAAAUAAUUAGAGGACCCCCCACUGCCACCCGAAGGAAAAAAAUGAGUGCCAUAUAAGGCAGCAGGAGCGUCAGUGAGCAGCAGGAAGGGCAGCUCUGCUGCACCCAGGGGUGCUCAGAGCCCAACGAUUCCCCUUGGCUGAUAGUUCCUCAGCAUCUGCCUGGGAUGCUGGUUCCCACAAGGAGCAGCCAAGUCCAACCCAAAAGAAAGGGCUUCUCUCGCCAUAAUUAGUGUUGCUGUGAUUGAAACACUAGGACCAAUUGAGGAAAAAAAUCCAUCAAGAUUGGAGGUGCCUCUUUUUACUUUCUUUCAUCGCUAAGGUCAGCAAUGAUGUUGGGUGGCUGGAUUCAGCCAACUAGAUGUGGCACAGCAGCAGUGUGUUUUUAGGAUAUCAUUUUAGGCACGACGGAAUAUAUUCUAAGGGGAAGACGUAGCAAUCUAGUAACAUAAAUAAGCUGCUCAGGGAUUUCUUUGCCUAUUGAAUACAUCCCAUGGCACUUGGGCUAUCUUGUCAAACUGUGAUGCAUACCUCAGACCAAUAAAAAGGCUCAUC
ensembl:lncRNA